AGGCCUAACACAUGCAAGUCGAACGAGGACUACACCUUCGGGUGUAGAGCCGAGUGGCGGACGGGUGAGUAACGCGUAGGGAUCUGCCCUAGAGAGGGGGAUAACCCGGGGAAACUCGGGCUAAUACCGCAUAAUCCUUUCGGGGUAAAGGUCGCACUUAGGUGCGGUCACUCUAGGAUGACCCUGCGUCCGAUUAGCUAGUUGGUGGGGUAAAGGCUUACCAAGGCGAUGAUCGGUAGCUGUUCUGAGAGGAAGACCAGCCACACUGGGACUGAGACACGGCCCAGACUCCUACGGGAGGCAGCAGUGGGGAAUAUUAGACAAUGGGGGCAACCCUGAUCCAGCAAUGCCGCGUGUGUGAAGAAGGCCUGCGGGUUGUAAAGCACUUUCGUUGGGGAGGAAGAGCAGUGAUUGAAUAGGUGACUGUUGUGACGUUACCCAAAGAAGAAGCACCGGCUAACUCUGUGCCAGCAGCCGCGGUAAUACAGAGGGUGCGAGCGUUAAUCGGAAUUACUGGGCGUAAAGGGCGCGUAGGUGGGUAUUUAAGUUGGGUGUGAAAUGUCCGGGCUUAACCUGGAGAGGCCAUCCGAUACUGGAUACCUAGAGUGCAGAAGAGGUAAGCGGAAUUUCCAGUGUAGCGGUGAAAUGCGUAGAUAUUGGAAGGAACACCAGUGGCGAAGGCGGCUUACUGGCCUGAAACUGACACUGAGGCGCGAAAGCGUGGGUAGCGAACAGGAUUAGAUACCCUGGUAGUCCACGCUGUAAACGAUGAGUACUAGCCGUUGGGGCCCUGCGGGGCUUAGUGGCGCAGCAAACGCGUUAAGUACUCCGCCUG
rnacentral:rRNA from 1 species